GAUGAACGCUGCCAGCAUGCUUAACACAUCAGCCAUGGAUUGGUGGCGGACGGGUGAGUAACUCGUAAAGAACUUGCCUCCCAGCGAGGGACAACAUUUGGAAACGAAUGCUAAUAACUAAUACUGUGAGAGAGCUUUGCGUCCCAGUAUCUAGUUGGAGAGGUAACGGCUCACCAAGGCGAUGAUGGGUAGCAGGCCUGAGAGGGUGAUCGGCCACAAGGGCACGGAGACACGGUCCUUACAGCUACGGGAGGCAGCAGUGGGGAAUAUUGGACAAUGUACCAAAGUCUGAUCCAGCAAUUCUGUGUGCACGAUGAAGUUUUCGGAAUGUAAAGUGCUUUCAGUUGGGAAGCGUUACCAACAGAAGAAGUGACGGCUAAAUACGUGCCAGCAGCCGCGGUAAUUC
rnacentral:rRNA from 1 species